UACGUAGGUGACAAGCGUUGUCCGGAUUUACUGGGCGUAAAGAGCGCGCAGGCGGUCGAUCAAGUCGAGUGUGAAAGCCCCCGGCUCAACUGGGGAGGGUCAUUCGAUACUGAUCGACUCGAAGGCAGGAGAGGGUAGUGGAAUUCCCGGUGUAGUGGUGAAAUGCGUAGAUAUCGGGAGGAACACCAAUGGCGAAGGCAGCUCACUGGGACGGUACUGACGCUGAGACGCGAAAGCGUGGGGAGCAAACAGG
rnacentral:rRNA from 1 species